CUCAAUAGUUACAGCUAGAUUCUGUUUGCCUUAGGCAAACACAUGUGCCCCUGAAGGCACAGAUCAGCUAAACAUUUACAGCAGUAUCAACCUAUACUCAGGCAGGACACUAGUGACCCAGGAUACCUAUAAGAGAUAGCAAUUUCAACCUCUAUAGACUCCCAACAGGAGCCAUAGAAAUCGCAGUUCAUACUGUUGGCUUAUUGGUUUGCCGACUCCUUACCACUCUCGCUCACCUGCCUCACCAGAAUACGUUGGUGCUUUAUUGAUCUAUCAAUACUUAGCCCUUGUGAGGACUCUCCUGUACAUAUUUCUAGUAGCCAUAUUCCAAGCUUGAGCACGGUUUAGCCGAGGGUUUCCCUUGACAUCCAUAGCAACCAAGACAAUUUGAUACAAUAUAUUUCUUUAGUGACUCUUCUGAUUUAUACCAUUGCUACUCAGCUCCAGUGCUAUCAUCUGUACAUAUGUAUAUUUCACUUUUCUUUUUGUUUAACCCUGUAUAUACUGUGUGAUUAAUCACUCAUCAAUUUAG